rnacentral:rRNA from 1 species
AACACAUGCAAGUCGAGGGGUAACGGAAGUAGCUUGCUACUAGACGACGACCGGCGCACGGGUGAGUAACGCGUAUGUAAUCUGCCUUGUACAGAGGGAUAGCCCAGAGAAAUUUGGAUUAAUACCUCAUAGUAUUACUGGAUCGCAUGAUUUGGUAAUUAAAGCUCCGGCGGUACAAGAUGAACAUGCGUGACAUUAGCUAGUUGGUAAGGUAACGGCUUACCAAGGCUACGAUGUCUAGGGGUUCUGAGAGGAUGAUCCCCCACACUGGUACUGAGACACGGACCAGACUCCUACGGGAGGCAGCAGUGAGGAAUAUUGGUCAAUGGACGCAAGUCUGAACCAGCCAUCCCGCGUGAAGGAUGACUGCCCUAUGGGUUGUAAACUUCUUUUAUAUGCAAAUAAACCUACUUUCGUGAAAGUAGCUGAAGGUAGCAUAUGAAUAAACACCGGCUAACUCCGUGCCAGCAGCCGCGGUAAUACGGAGGGUGUAAGCGUUAUCCGGA